UACGUAGGGGGCAAGCGUUGUCCGGAAUUAUUGGGCGUAAAGAGCGUGUAGGCGGUCCGGUAAGUCAGCUGUGAAAGUCAAGGGCUCAACCCUUGAAUGCCGGUUGAUACUGUCGGGCUAGAGUCCGGAAGAGGCGAGUGGAAUUCCUGGUGUAGCGGUGAAAUGCGCAGAUAUCAGGAGGAACACCAAUUGCGAAGGCAGCUCGCUGGAACGUAACUGACGCUGAGACGCGAAAGCGUGGGGAGCAAACAGG
rnacentral:rRNA from 1 species